rnacentral:rRNA from 1 species
CAUCCCUGGGUGGCGCUGAGGGAAUUGGCGUGAAGCUGCAGCACAAGGACGGUCUGGUUGUCAUUCGAGGCAUUCAAAAGGGUGGAGGUGCAGACAAGACUGCAGGGAGAGUGCAGGCA